rnacentral:rRNA from 1 species
GACGAGCGCUGGCGGCGUGCCUAAUACAUGCAAGUUGAGCGCUGAAGGUUGGUACUUGUACCAACUGGAUGAGCAGCGAACGGGUGAGUAACGCGUGGGGAAUCUGCCUUUGAGCGGGGGACAACAUUUGGAAACGAAUGCUAAUACCGCAUAAAAACUUUAAACACAAGUUUUAAGUUUGAAAGAUGCAAUUGCAUCACUCAAAGAUGAUCCCGCGUUGUAUUAGCUAGUUGGUGAGGUAAAGGCUCACCAAGGCGAUGAUACAUAGCCGACCUGAGAGGGUGAUAGGCCACAUUGGGACUGAGACACGGCCCAAACACCUACGGGAGGCAGCAGUAGGGAAUCGUCGGCAAUGGACGAAAGUCUGACCGAGCAACGCCGCGUGAGUGAAGAAGGUUUUCGGAUCGUAAAACUCUGUUGGUAGAGAAGAACGUUGGUGAGAGUGGAAAGCUCAUCAAGUGACGGUAACUACCCAGAAAGGGACGGCUAACUACGUG